ensembl:lncRNA
CAUCUUCCUCUGAACUGAAGCAAGAAACUGAGAAAAUGUCUAAAACACAUUCUUCUCUAAAACCUGUCAUGAAGAAAUUUAAAGAUGCUGUGCUUCUAAAGAAGGAAGAAAUCUCGAAUGAAGACAUUGAAAUACCCAGACUGGCCUUAUCAAGAGAAAGGCAACAAGCGAGAGUCCGCUUCUUAUGUCCGGACAGUCCCUUGGAGUGUUGGUCCUAUGUAAUGGGAGCUGAGAGAAUAACUUCAGGGAGACACGCCCGGAUAGCUGACGUGGGGGACGAACCGUUCUGGGCUGUCGGGGUGGCAAGAAAGCGGGAGCUCCGGUUUGGUAUCCGGAUUUGGGCUAUUGAAACCUCUUUUAAUCGGUACAUUUCAUUCACUUCUAGCAAAAUAUCACUGGGGCCAGUGACUUCUCUAAAUAGGACUGUGGAGUAUAGCAAAAAUUUACAGCAGAUGCCCAGGAGGAUCCGUGUGAUCUUGAACUAUGACGAUAGAUCGAUUGCCUUUUUCGAGGCUGAUAAAAACACUAGGCUCUUUGCUUUCAGUAAGGUCCCACUCGAGGAAGGGGAAGAGCUCUGCUUCUGGCACAGUGUGGGACAUUAUUAGAUGUGAUGCUAACAAGCAAAACUCAGAUCCGCAUUGCAAAGCAAUUAGGAAAUGGGAAGCAGUUGGCUGGCCAGACGGAAAAGCCCCACUUUUGGCCAGGAGAUUUCUAUGUGGUUACCGUUCUAAUAGUUUGCUGUGUUUUUUAAGCAUGAGAAACUGGCCUACUAAAGGAAUCAAAGGGCCUGUUUGCAAUUUAGUGCUAGUGAGCGAUCGGAUGCUCACUAGCACAGUGCAUCUGCAUUUAGCAGAGGCACAAACAAUCAGGAGCAUGUGCAGAUGCUCCUGAUUCUACUUGCUGUGGACAACAAAAUUGUAGUCGACAGCUGUCCCGGGAGCAGCUGGAGUGCUCCUGGUAUGCAGCAUUUGCACCUACUUCCUGGCGUGGACACUGCAGGUGUUGCUGCGACUGUGCACACACAUGCCACAUCCCUGGUUGCCAUGGUGGUGGCUGGACACUUCCACAGCUGCUGUCAUGGCAGGUGGGUGGCAUUUGCAUCGUGAAUGCUGCAAGCCCGUUUCCGGGCUGUUCCAGCCCUCGCAGUGCGGAUGACCCCUGCACCACCAGGACUGUUCCACCUUAGAAUUCCAAGGUGGAAAGUGUAAAAAAAGCCCACAGUGUUGACUACUGAAGGGAAUGUAUAUUAUUUUAUAGUGGAAGGGGGGAAUAUUGAAGGUUAAUCUUUUUUAAAAAGCAUUUUAUUGAAAGUUAUCCUGAUGACUAAAUAUGAAAUAAGGCAUACAGUAUGAUUUUGCACCAUGAAUUCCCUGGCUAAAGCUUGUAAAAUCCCUAAUUUCUAGUAUUCAAAGUUGCUAAUAGGCACUACACCAACAAUUGUUACUUUUUUCUACUUACACAUGCUCUGGCAUCAAUUUUUCUUCACCUCUGAGCUUCCCUGAUUCUUAACAGUAAAAUGGAAUCAUAUUUAAUUGGUAGGUAAGUUUUAAGUGAACAUAUUUUCAAAAGUUAUAUGAAGAAGACCAAUAAUAAAAUGUGCAGCUGUUGGAGAUAUGCA